AGUGAACGCUGGCGGUAGGCCUAACACAUGCAAGUCGAACGGCAGCACAGUAAGAGCUUGCUCUUACGGGUGGCGAGUGGCGGACGGGUGAGGAAUACAUCGGAAUCUACUUUUUCGUGGGGGAUAACGUAGGGAAACUUACGCUAAUACCGCAUACGACCUACGGGUGAAAGCAGGGGAUCUUCGGACCUUGCGCGAUUGAAUGAGCCGAUGUCGGAUUAGCUAGUUGGCGGGGUAAAGGCCCACCAAGGCGACGAUCCGUAGCUGGUCUGAGAGGAUGAUCAGCCACACUGGAACUGGGACACGGUCCAGACUCCUACGGGAGGCAGCAGUGGGGAAUACUGGACAAUGGGCGCAAGCCUGAUCCAGCCAUACCGCGUGGGUGAAGAAGGCCUUCGGGUUGUAAAGCCCUUUUGUUGGGAAAGAAAAGCAGCAGGUUAAUACCCCGCUGUUCUGACGGUACCCAAAGAAUAAGCACCGGCUAACUUCGUG
rnacentral:rRNA from 1 species